rnacentral:tRNA from 1 species
AACUAAUGAGCUUGAUACAAGCUUAUGCCUUGAAAACAUAAGAAAGAAAAUAAUUUCUAUUAGUUU